GGAAUAUUAUGCUAAAGGCCGAAAGCUUCUAACUUUUUCCUAAGCGGUUAAACUCCGUUUAUAUUCCU
rnacentral:tRNA from 1 species